rnacentral:rRNA from 1 species
GACGAACGCUGGCGGCGUGCUUAACACAUGCAAGUCGAACGGUGAAGCCCUUCGGGGUGGAUCAGUGGCGAACGGGUGAGUAACACGUGAGCAACCUGCCCCUGGCUCUGGGACAACCACUGGAAACGGUGGCUAAUACCGGAUACGACCCGCCUCGGCAUCGAGUGUGGGUGGAAAGUUUUUCGGCUGGGGAUGGGCUCGCGGCCGAUCAUCUUGUUGGUGAGGUGAAGGCUCACCAAGGCGAAGACGGGUAGCCGGCCUGAGAGGGCGACCGGCCACACUGGGACUGAGACACGGCCCAGACUCCUACGGGAGGCAGCAGUGGGGAAUAUUGCACAAUGGGCGAAAGCCUGAUGCAGCGACGCCGCGUGAGGGAUGACGGCCUUCGGGUUGUAAACCUCUUUCAGCUCCGAAGAAGCGAAAGUGACGGUAGGAGCAGAAGAAGCACCGGCUAACUACGUG